CAAGCGGCCCUUUUCAGGGCCACUCACAUCACUUUUGCUGUGGCCU
rfam:Rhodnius prolixus Rhodnius_prolixus-3.0.3-192.22, whole genome shotgun sequence.